GACGAACGCUGGCGGCGUGCUUAACACAUGCAAGUCGAACGAUGAAGCGGUGCUUGCACCGUGGAUUAGUGGCGAACGGGUGAGUAAUACGUGAGUGACCUACCUUUGACUCUGGGAUAAGCCUGGGAAACUGGGUCUAAUACCGGAUACGACCAAUCUCUGCAUGGGGUGUUGGUGGAAAGCGUUAUGGAGUGGUUUUAGAUGGGCUCACGGCCUAUCAGCUUGUUGGUGAGGUAAUGGCUUACCAAGGCGACGACGGGUAGCCGGCCUGAGAGGGUGACCGGCCACACUGGGACUGAGACACGGCCCAGACUCCUACGGGAGGCAGCAGUGGGGAAUAUUGCACAAUGGGCGCAAGCCUGAUGCAGCGACGCCGCGUGAGGGAUGACGGCCUUCGGGUUGUAAACCUCUGUUAGCAUCGAAGAAGCGAAAGUGACGGUAGGUGCAGAGAAAGCGCCGGCUAACUACGUGCCAGCAGCCGCGGUAAUACGUAGGGCGCGAGCGUUGUCCGGAAUUAUUGGGCGUAAAGAGCUUGUAGGCGGUUGGUCGCGUCUGCUGUGAAAGGCCGGGGCUUAACUCCGGUUUUGCAGUGGGUACGGGCUAACUAGAGUGCAGUAGGGGAGACUGGAAUUCCUGGUGUAGCGGUGGAAUGCACAGAUAUCAGGAGGAACACCGAUGGCGAAGGCAGGUCUCUGGGCUGUAACUGACGCUGAGAAGCGAAAGCAUGGGGAGCGAACAGGAUUAGAUACCCUGGUAGUCCAUGCCGUAAACGUUGGGCACUAGGUGUGGGGGACAUUCCACGUUUUCCGCGCCGUAGCUAACGCAUUAAGUGCCCCCGCCUGGGGAGUACGGCCGCAAGGCUAAAACUCAAAGGAAUUGACGGGGGCCCGCACAAGCGGCGGAGCAUGCGGAUUAAUUCGAUGCAACGCGAAGAACCUUACCAAGGCUUGACAUGCAUUAGAUCGCGUCAGAGAUGGCGUUUCCCUUCGGGGCUGGUGUACAGGUGGUGCAUGGUUGUCGUCAGCUCGUGUCGUGAGAUGUUGGGUUAAGUCCCGCAACGAGCGCAACCCUCGUUCUAUGUUGCCAGCGGUUCGGCCGGGGACUCAUAGGAGACUGCCGGGGUUAACUCGGAGGAAGGUGGGGAUGACGUCAAAUCAUCAUGCCCCUUAUGUCUUGGGCUUCACGCAUGCUACAAUGGCCGGUACAGAGGGUUGCGAUACUGUGAGGUGGAGCUAAUCCCUUAAAGCCGGUCUCAGUUCGGAUUGGGGUCUGCAACUCGACCCCAUGAAGUCGGAGUCGCUAGUAAUCGCAGAUCAGCAACGCUGCGGUGAAUACGUUCCCGGGCCU
rnacentral:rRNA from 1 species